UUCCUACGGGGCGCAGCAGUGGGGGAUAUUGCACAAUGGGGGAAACCCUGAUGCAGCGACGCCGCGUGGGUGAAGAAGCGCCUCGGCGCGUAAAGCCCUGUCAGCAGGGAAGAAAAUGACGGUACCUGAAGAAGAAGCCCCGGCUAACUACGUGCCAGCAGCCGCGGUAAUACGUAGGGGGCAAGCGUUAUCCGGAUUUACUGGGUGUAAAGGGGGCGCAGACGGCGAUGCAAGCCAGGAGUGAAAGCCCGGGGCCCAACCCCGGGACUGCUUUUGAAACUGUACAGCUUGAUUGCAGGAGAGGC
rnacentral:rRNA from 1 species